AACUGGCGGAGGAUGGACAACCCGUUACAUCUCCCCCCUGCUGGGAGAAAGAUUGUAGUUCACAAUUUUUACUGAAGACACCUCUUCAAUUGCUCAAUGUGCCAAGGGCCAUCAUCAUUCCCAUCUUCAUCACUUAAAAGGUAAGAGACUCGUCCAACUCUUGAUUUUAUUUUGAAUGGCCCAAUCUACUUGUCUGCUAACUUCUUUGUGAAAAACUUUGCUUUAUCAGACUUUACAUAGUUACGCCUCCAGACCAGACAACUAGUCGUUAGGUGAGCGUCUCUACGCCAUUUUUCUUGAGGAUCGGCUACUUCUGGAUCUUCUUCAUCGGGAUUGAACAACCGCUCACGACCAUCAAGAACAAUGUCGUGGCCGUACAAGACUCUGCAAGGCGAAUGACCAGUAACAUGGCUGACAGAAGAGUUUAUGGCACACUGAAUUUCAGAUGUUUGGUGACUGCAGCAGCAGUAGCUUCACGGAGAGGACGCAAGAAGACGAGAAAACA